GGAGUCUGGGCCGUGUCUCAGUCCCAUUGUGGCUGAUCAUCCUCUCAAACCAGCUACUGAUCGUCGCCUUGGUGGUCCAUUACACCCCCAACUAGCUAAUCAGAUGCAGACUCAUCCUGGAGCGAUAAAUCUUUCACGAAUAGUAUCGCAACUACGCGCAUAUGGGGUAUUAGCAGGAGUUUCCCUCUGUUGUCCCCCUCUCCAGGGCAGAUUCUCUACACAUUACUCACCCGUCCGCCACUUUCCUCUCUAGCAAGCUAGAGAUUCUCGUUCGACUUGCAUGUAUGAAGCACGCCGCCAGCGUGUCCUGAGCCACGGAUCAAACUACU
rnacentral:rRNA from 1 species